AACGAACGCUGGCGGCAUGCCUAACACAUGCAAGUCGAACGAGACCUUCGGGUCUAGUGGCGCACGGGUGCGUAACGCGUGGGAACCUGCCCUUAGGUUCGGAAUAACUCCCCGAAAGGGGUGCUAAUACCGGAUAAUGUCUUCGGACCAAAGAUUUAUCGCCUUUGGAUGGGCCCGCGUUGGAUUAGCUAGUUGGUAGGGUAAAAGCCUACCAAGGCGACGAUCCAUAGCUGGUCUGAGAGGAUGAUCAGCCACACUGGGACUGAGACACGGCCCAGACUCCUACGGGAGGAAGCAGUGGGGAAUAUUGGACAAUGGGCGAAAGCCUGAUCCAGCAAUGACGCGUGAGUGAUGAAGGCCUUAGGGUUGUAAAGCUCUUUUAACCGGGAUGAUAAUGACAGUACCGGGAGAAUAAGCUCCGGCUAACUCCGUG
rnacentral:rRNA from 1 species